rnacentral:rRNA from 10 species
GCUUACGGCCAUACCAACUUAGGCACGCCCGAUCUCGUCUGAUCUCGGAAGCUAAGUAGGGUCGGGCCUGGUUAGUACUUGGAUGGGUGACCGCCUGGGAAUACCAGGUGCUGUAAGCA